UACGAAGGGGGCUAGCGUUGUUCGGAAUUACUGGGCGUAAAGCGCGCGCAGGCGGUCUUCCAAGUCGGUGGUGAAAGCCCGGAGCUCAACUCCGGAAUUGCCAUUGAAACUGUUGGACUUGAGGAUGAGAGAGGUGAGUGGAAUUCCCAGUGUAGAGGUGAAAUUCGUAGAUAUUCGCAAGAACACCAGUGGCGAAGGCGGCUCACUGGCCCGGUACUGACGCUGAGGUGCGAAAGCGUGGGGAGCAAACAGG
rnacentral:rRNA from 1 species